rnacentral:misc_RNA from 1 species
CGACCUGGUGCUAACAUUUUGCUUCCAAGACCAGGUUUCCCAUACUAUGAAGCAGUUGCUUCACGAUCUAAUCUUGAGGUUCGCCAUUUUGAUCUUUUGCCAGAAAAAGGCUGGGAGGUUGAUCUUGAAGCUGUUGAGGCUCUGGCAGAUGAGAAUUCUGUUGCCAUGGUUAUAAUAAACCCUGGCAAUCCUUGUGGAAAUGUCUACAGCUACGGACAUUUAAAGAAAAUUGCAGAGACAGCUAGAAAGAUUGGAAUAAUGGUGAUUGCUGAUGAAGUAUAUGCGCAUCUCACAUUUGGGAGUACGCCGUAUGUGCGAAUGGGAACUUUUGGGCCAAUUGUGCCUGUGCUUUCACUGGGAUCUAUAUCAAAGAGAUGGAUUGUUCCUGGAUGGAGAAUUGGUUGGCUUGUUACUUCUGAUCCCAAUGGAAUCCUUAAAAAUUCUGGGGUUGUUGAUUCAAUACUUAGCUGUCUCAACCUAACCCCUGACCCUGCAACCUUCAUUCAGGGUGCACUCUCUGAAAUCCUCGAGAACACGAAGAAGGAUUUCUUUUUGAAAACUAUUAGCUUACUGAGGGAGGCCGUAGACACAUGCUAUGACAUGAUUCAGGGAAACCCUUACAUCACUUGCCCAAUGAAGCCAGAAGGUUCUAUGUUUAUUAUGGCAAAACUGAAUUUGUCACUAUUGGAAGGCAUCAAGGAUGAUAUGGA